rnacentral:misc_RNA from 1 species
UGGACAACGUGAGAAACUGAGAGAAGAUUGAAUCGAAUAGAAGCGGUUUUCUCUCUCAGGCAAUGAUAUGAUACGGUGCCUUCUAGGGUAUAAUGCCUCUUUAAGGACUGCCGUCGGGAUGUCCUGGGUUUAAAUCUGAGACGUUGAUUAAAAAAAUAAAUAUGUAAAUAAAUUAUAAGACGUUGGAUUUGCUCUUUCCUCAUAUGCUUGAAUUUUUGCAAGAUUUUGGUUGCAGUUUUGCUAUUUUACUAGAUAUUUGAUGAAUUUCUGCAUCGUUCCUCUCCUUGUUAAUUGACUCUGUUAAAUUC